AAAUUUGAGUAUGCUUUAAUUAUUUUUCUCGGAUUUGGCAACCUAAAAAAUGGUCUAAUGCUUAUAUACUGUAGGUUGUGGCCGAAAACACCUGACUUAUAACAAUCAAGAAUCAAAGUCAUAACCGCGAGCCGUCCAGUAAAACCCAAGAGAUGGAAGGCCGAGCUCCUUUCAGAGAUAUUACAAAUGUUCACUCCACGACUUCACCAAAAGGGAACCAACUAGCUGUGAUUGCAGAGCAGAAUGAUCCUUUUGCAGAAACCAAAAACACUAUGCAAAUGAAUUCUUCCCAGCUUCAGAGGAUGAUGUUCUCCCCUUCAAGUUUAAAAGAAACAAUUUCCAAUUCGGCUUAGUUUUGCCAUGACAAUCAACAAAGCC